GCUGGCGGCACGCCUAACACAUGCAAGUCGAACGAAGUAGCAAUACUUAGUGGCAGACGGGUGAGUAACAUGUAGGUAUCUGCCCUUUGGCCUGGAAUAACACGAGGAAACUUGUGCUAAUACCGGAUAAGUCUUUACGGAGAAAGCUUUAUGCACCAUUGGAUGAGCCUGCACUUGAUUAGUUUGUUGGUGGGGUAAUGGCCUACCAAGACUGUGAUCAAUAGCUGAUUUGAGAGGAUGAUCAGCCACAUUGGGACUGAGACACGGCCCAAACUCCUACGGGAGGCAGCAGUGGGGAAUCUUGCACAAUGGAGGAAACUCUGAUGCAGCGAUGCCGCGUGAGUGAAGAAGGCCUUUGGGUUGUAAAGCUCUUUCGUCGGGGAAGAAAAUGACUGUACCCGAAUAAGAAGGUCCGGCUAACUUCGUGCCAGCAGCCGCGGUAAUACGAAGGGACCUAGCGUAGUUCGGAAUUACUGGGCUUAAAGAGUUCGUAGGUGGUUGAAAAAGUUAGUGGUGAAAUCCCAGAGCUUAACUCUGGAACUGCCAUUAAAACUUUUCAGCUAGAGUAUGAUAGAGGAAAGCAGAAUUUCUAGUGUAGAGGUGAAAUUCGUAGAUAUUAGAAAGAAUACCGAUUGCGAAGGCAGCUUUCUGGAUCAUUACUGACACUGAGGAACGAAAGCAUGGGUAGCGAAGAGGAUUAGAUACCCUCGUAGUCCAUGCCGUAAACGAUGUGUGUUAGACGUUGGAAAUUUAUUUUCAGUGUCGCAGGAAAACCGAUAAACACACCGCCUGGGGAGUACGACCG
rnacentral:rRNA from 1 species